UGUUCUGUGAUGUAGUUGACCAGACAAAGUGCAGCUCGCAGCAGACUGCGCUCAGCUGUGAUUGUUCGUGGCACAUUUGUCUAAUUUUUUUUUACCAACAAGGUGACGAUGAUCAAACUUUAACAAGUAUCAAGCAUUUCUUCAGCUGGACUGAACCUCUGAGUUGUGUGAAAGCAUCAUCUGGGUCCAGAUAAAAAAAAAAAAUCUAAACCAAGGAGGCUUGAUGUGUUAUUCCACAGUAUCAGUUCCAUCAGUGCAGUAACUUCAUGGUGACGGUGCUGCUGGUUUGUCUUCACUCUGACAAAUGUUGUUCUUCAUAUUAUUUGCUUCCUUGCAGACAUGUUGCAUCAGUUGGUGAUUAAAGAAGAAAUGCUCCCUGAACAACAGGAGUUGAGUCUGAGUGAUGACCAAAAGGACGUUAAACAGGAACAAGAGGAAGUCUGGACAAGUAACGAGGGACAGCAGCUUCACUGGCUGGACACUGAGAAGACCAAGUUCCGUUUUGCUCGUGUCCCUGUGAAGACUGAAAAUGAUGAUGAAAUACCACAGUCAUCACAGGUUCUUCAAAACUCAGUGAUCAGCACUGAGG